rnacentral:misc_RNA from 1 species
AACGCACGAGACCUGCGGACCUGCGGAGGGAUCAUUAAUGAGAAACUGCCCCUCGCGGGUAGAUCUCCCACCCUUUGCAAACUUACCUUUGUUGCUUUGGCAGGCCCGUCUCCGGACCGCCGGCUUCGGCUGGCCAGUGCCUGCCAGAGGAUUCUAAAACUCUGUCUGUCAGUGUUGUCUGAGUCUAUAUACAAUCGUUAAAACUUUUAACAACGGAUCUCUAGAUCGGAAGAGCACACG